GCGGAUGUGGUGGAAUUGGUAGACACGCUAGAUUUAGGUUCUAGUGCCGUAAGGUGUGGGAGUUCGAGUCUCCCCAUCCGCACCA
rnacentral:tRNA from 74 species